rnacentral:rRNA from 1 species
GGGUUGUGAGGUUAAGCGACUAAGCGUACACGGUGGAUGCCCUGGCAGUCAGAGGCGAUGAAGGGCGUGCUAAUCUGCGAUAAGCGCCGGUAAGGUGAUAUGAACCGUUAUAACCGGCGAUACCCGAAUGGGGAAACCCAGUGUGACUCGUCACACUAUCAUUAACUGAAUCCAUAGGUUAAUGAGGCGAACCGGGGGAACUGAAACAUCUAAGUACCCCGAGGAAAAGAAAUCAACCGAGAUUCCCCCAGUAGCGGCGAGCGAACGGGGAGGAGCCCAGAGCCUGAAUCAGCAUGUGUGUUAGUGGAAGCGUCUGGAAAGGCGCGCGAUACAGGGUGACAGCCCCGUACACAAAAGCGCAUGUGCUGUGAGCUCGAUGAGUAGGGCGGGACACGUGGUAUCCUGUCUGAAUAUGGGGGGACCAUCCUCCAAGGCUAAAUACUCCUGACUGACCGAUAGUGAACCAGUACCGUGAGGGAAAGGCGAAAAGAACCCCGGCGAGGGGAGUGAAAAAGAACCUGAAACCGUGUACGUACAAGCAGUGGGAGCCCCACCACUAAGCCAGUGGUGAACUCCACAUACGCAUCCUUUGCUGAGGAUACGGUUAACGGAGCGAAAGCGACGUUCAACCUCAAAAGAAGCAGAGGGGGCUUAGUGGUGGGGUGACUGCGUACCUUUUGU